rnacentral:rRNA from 1 species
CAGCAGCCACGGUAAUACGAAGGGGGCUAGCGUUGCUCGGAAUCACUGGGUGUAAAGGGUGCGUAGGCGGGUCUUUAAGUCAGGGGUGAAAUCCUGGAGCUCAACUCCAGAACUGCCUUUGAUACUGAAGAUCUUGAGUUCGGGAGAGGUGAGUGGAACUGCGAGUGUAGAGGUGAAAUUCGUAGAUAUUCGCAAGAACACCAGUGGCGAAGGCGGCUCACUGGCCCGAUACUGACGCUGAGGCACGAAAGCGUGGGGAGCAAACAGGAUUAGAUACCCCAGUAGUCCCUGUCUCUUAUAC